GACGAACGCUGGCGGCGUGCUUAACACAUGCAAGUCGAGCGGAAAGGCCUCUUCGGGGGUACUCGAGCGGCGAACGGGUGAGUAACACGUGAGUAAUCUGCCCUUCACUCUGGGAUAGCCACCGGGAACGGUGAUUAAUACCGGAUACGACACGUCCAGGCAUCUGGUGCGUGUGGAAACUUUUUGGGUGGGGGAUGUGCUCGCGGCCUAUCAGCUUGUUGGUGGGGUAAUGGCCUACCAAGGCUUCGACGGGUAGCCGGCCUGAGAGGGUGACCGGCCACACUGGGACUGAGACACGGCCCAGACUCCUACGGGAGGCAGCAGUGGGGAAUAUUGGACAAUGGGCGGAAGCCUGAUCCAGCAACGCCGCGUGAGGGAUGACGGCCUUCGGGUUGUAAACCUCUUUCAGCACCGACGAAGCGAUCCUUUUGGGGAGUGACGGUAGGUGCAGAAGAAGGACCGGCCAACUACGUGCCAGCAGCCGCAGUAACAC
rnacentral:rRNA from 1 species